UACGUAGGGUGCGAGCGUUAAUCGGAAUUACUGGGCGUAAAGCGUGCGCAGGCGGUUUUGUAAGCCAGAUGUGAAAUCCCCGGGCUUAACCUGGGAAUGGCAUUUGGGACUGCAAGGCUUGAGUUUGGCAGAGGAGACUGGAAUUCCUGGUGUAGCAGUGAAAUGCGUAGAGAUGUGGAGGAACACCGAUGGCGAAGGCAGCCCCCUGGGCUAACACUGACGCUCAUGCACGAAAGCGUGGGGAGCAAACAGG
rnacentral:rRNA from 1 species